UGCUAUACGGUUAAGUUUGAUGGCGCCUUAAACUCUUGGCGCGUGUUAUGUACUACGGACAUAGUGCUGAGAUUUGAGGCUUCGGUUACAUGCGAAAAGUAAAAAGUUCGUCUAACGUUUCAUUACUUGCUUCUACCUAUUUUUCCGUAUUUAUAUAGAGGGAGAGACUGGUGACUGAGAUAAGGUAAACCUAUUGAAACCAGAGAAAUGUUUUUAAGGAGGGUCUGGAAAUGAAAGAAAAAUUAAAUAGCUGGCAGAGAAUUGUACGGGCUCAGCACUACAACAUCAACAGCAGCAACAACAAGAAGGACUGGAGCGUGUAAGG